rnacentral:rRNA from 1 species
UACGGGGGGGCAAGCGUUGUUCGGAAUUACUGGGCGUAAAGGGCUCGUAGGCGGCCAACUAAGUCGGACGUGAAAUCCUCGGCUCAACCGGGGAACUGCGUCCGAUACUGGAUGGCUUGAAUCCGGGAGAGGGAUGCGGAAUUCCAGGUGUAGCGGUGAAAUGCGUAGAUAUCUGGAGGAACACCGGUGGCGAAGGCGGCAUCCUGGACCGGCAUUGACGCUGAGGAGCGAAAGCCAGGGGAGCAAACGGG